rnacentral:pre_miRNA from 1 species
GGCGCGUCGCGGCCAUAUUGUCCUGUCACAGCAGUACUUGGAAGCUACUGCUGCGUCUGGACAAGCCGGCCGCGGCGCCGCC